ACCACUUCCCCCAGAGGAACAGUCUGAUGUGAUAAGAGCAAAGUAAUACAAAACAGACAGCUCACAUUUCCCUGAAACUAGAACUGCAAGAGGGUUUUGGCAGUUCCCAGAUGGCUGUGGAAGUCAGUGUAAGUUCUUCCCCCGGCUCCGGGUGGGGAAGGGGUGGGGGACCUUGCCUCUAAGGCUCCAUGCUGAUUCUAUGGCAGAGAGCGCAAAGCCUUGGAAAGAGCAGCCCUCUUUCCUCCGCUCCCGACAGUGUUGCUUUUCCCAGCAUCGCACACAUAGGAAUGAGGAGUCCUGCUUCACUUCGCUGGCUCCUUCUUCUACACCCAUACCUUUCGUCCCCCACAGCUGCCUCGCUAAAUCGCCCGGCUCCGAAAGAACUCCCCACGCUCUUGGCUGUUUUCUUGCCGCGCAGAGGGCUCAUCUUGAAUCAAGAGGCAGCAGGGUAUUCUUGCAGUGUGGAUAACAGUGUCUGUGGAAUCUCUACCUGUUCCAACCUUCAGCUCUUUUCAGCGCGAUACACUCACUCUAAAGUACAGGGACUUUACAGUCAGACAGACCCGACUUAGCACCUUGACUGCCCAACUUACUGCAUGAACCGUGGGCACUUCUGAGUGUCUUGGUGAGAUACGAUUUUUAAAAAUGCAGUGGACGCUACUGAUGCGUUCCGUUCCAUCCAGUGAAAGGACAGGUUUGUAAAAACAUUAGGGUGUGUGUUCAUCCACCUCAUUCGCUAAGCCUAGCACCAUGUGACUUCGGAGCCCCCCGCCAUCAAAUGGCUAUGCACGGUCCAAGUUUUGUGUUGAUUCAACUCAUCAAGGCAGCCAUCACAGCACAACUCAAGACCCUCAGGAUAGAGGACUUCCGGAGCUGCUUCAGAAAGAGGCAAGCAUGAUGGUGUAGUAAUGGCAAUGUGUCUUUUCCUGGAGUACAUUUUUUAAACCAUUACUUUUAAAUCACAACCAGGGUAUAUUCACAUACACGCAAAAACUUAUCCAAGUAUUUACUGAUAUUGUGUGUACAAUAUUCAAAAUAACAUUGACAUCAAGGAAAUGCACAUUUCAAGAACUUAAGUAAUGAAUCUUUAUCUCGCCGUGUCUACCCCUCGCUUUCUUCUCUUGCCUCUUUGUCUUUUCCCCCAUGCCUCAAUGAACCAGGC
rnacentral:lncRNA from 1 species